AGCGGCGGACGGGUUAGUAACGCGUGGGAACAUACCCAAUGGUACGGAAUAGCCUCGGGAAACUGAGAGUAAUACCGUAUGUGCCCUUCGGGGGAAAGAUUUAUCGCCAUUGGAUUGGCCCGCGUUAGAUUAGAUAGUUGGUGGGGUAAUGGCCUACCAAGUCUACGAUCUAUAGCUGGUUUUAGAGGAUGAUCAGCAACACUGGGACUGAGACACGGCCCAGACUCCUACGGGAGGCAGCAGUGGGGAAUCUUAGACAAUGGGCGCAAGCCUGAUCUAGCCAUGCCGCGUGUGUGAUGAAGGCCUUAGGGUCGUAAAGCACUUUCGCCAGAGAUGAUAAUGACAGUAUCUGGUAAAGAAACCCCGGCUAACUCCGUGCCAGCAGCCGCGGUAAUACGGAGGGGGUUAGCGUUGUUCGGAAUUACUGGGCGUAAAGCGUACGUAGGCGGAUCAGAAAGUAUGGGGUGAAAUCCCAGGGCUCAACCCUGGAACUGCCUCAUAAACUCCUGGUCUUGAGUUCGAGAGAGGUGAGUGGAAUUCCAAGUGUAGAGGUGAAAUUCGUAGAUAUUUGGAGGAACACCAGUGGCGAAGGCGGCUCACUGGCUCGAUACUGACGCUGAGGUACGAAAGUGUGGGGAGCAAACAGGAUU
rnacentral:rRNA from 1 species